rnacentral:lncRNA from 1 species
GCAGGGCAGCCAUUGUUGUCUUUUGAUAUGUUCCAAAUGAAUUAAUCAUUUUUACAUUUCAAAUAAUUCAGGAGAGGCUUGUAAAAGGUGCCGGAUUUGUGCACGAGAAUUUUGGCAUAUACAGGACCCUUGAAGAGCUUUGGGAUGGUGAAAUUUGAGGUGGAUGUGAUAUUUCAGACAUAGGAUUUUGCUGUACUUUCUAUUUAAAACCUACUUAUGAUCAAUGACACUAGAGCUCUCAAUCAGCAUUUGUUGUAGAGAAGUGCAGAUUGUGUGAACUCAAAUGUAGCAUUAUUGUUGGACGUUAUGAUCACAAGAACAAGAGCUCGAAGUUAUGUUAAUCUGCUAGUGAUUUUCUUCUCUUUUCUGCCAACCUGAUCUAUUGUUGAGUUUUGUUAAUUUGCAAUCGUUCCAAUUCAACAUUUCCCAUUCUAACGGGUAGCAGGGUUGCUCUGUUUUUCAAUGACCAUCAUGGAUUUGUGGGAGUUUUUCGGUUUAGUGAAGCAGGGAGAUAUUUGAUAAUUGUCUUUUCUCUUGAUUUCUAACGUUGAAUUUCUGUUUUUCUUUUCAUUUUCUUACUUUUAAUAGGCGAAAAAAAAAAUCAUAAGACUUAAGGUGACGAGAAGUUUUGAUGAGUCGGAAUAAUGUUGGCUACUAUAAUCUAAUUUUGAUGCUUGAAAUGAAUCCAAACCAAACGUCAGGCAGGAGGUUAGCUUGAGGGAAGAACGAAGGAUGGGAAAAACAUUUUCGGAGAAGACGUGUCAAAUUAACGAAAUUACUCAGCUUUAUGGUUUUUUCGUUCUUAUUUUGUUUUGUCUGUCUAGACAUCAUAAGUGUUCGAUCCUAUAUCAAUUUAUUUUUAGUUUGAGAAUUUAAAAAAAUUUUAAUUGCGCGAUGUCUCUUCACAUUCAUAUGUUGAUUUGUAAAAACGAUCUGUAAUGAAUCUGCCUUAUUUCGGGGAUACUCGCUAGGCGAUUCCCCAGGCACAGGACCUGUCAAGGGUAAUGCUCUUAAGCGUCUGUUCAUAUAUAGUUAUGGUUUCUGAAUCCUUAUAACACGUGUUGUAAGGAUUACACCAGCUGACACGUGUUGUAAGGAUUAAAAGAGUCGGGUAAUUUUUAAAAACCUCUCCUGAGAUUUGGGCUUGUUGCAAGUAGAUGGCGAAAAUUGAUUUAUUUGUAAAAAACCCCCUACCGUCAGUUAAGUUUAACAUUGACCGUUAGUUGACCGUGCAAAGACAAUAUUACCCUUAACAAUAGUUUGUAAACGAAAAUAACUAAAAAAAAACUAAAAUUAUUGGUGCAAAAAGCACAAACCCUAUUUUUUGACAAUUUUAUCCUUGUCAAUUCUAAAAAUUUACAAUAUCAUAGGUAAAGAUUAUGACUAUUUCAUUUUUAAAUUUUUAAUUUUAUCUUUCUUGUAGGAAUUUUAAGGAAAUAUCAACUUUUUUAUAGAAACUUUAAGAAAAUUUAAUUUUAACUUUUUUAUAGAAACUUUAAGAAAAUAUCAAUAAUUUAAAAAGUGUAAAAUAGCUAAUAAUUUUGGUUUUUUUUUUUAGUUAUUUUCGUUUAUAAACUAUUGUUAAGGGUAAUAUUGUCUUUGCACGGUCAACUAACGGUCAAUGUUAAACUUAAAUGACGGUAGGGGGUUUUUUACAAAUAAAUCAAUUCUCGCCAUCUACUUGCAACAAGCCCAAACCUCAGGGGAGAUUUUUAAAAAUUACCCUAAAAGAGUUUGAUUAUUUACUUAACUAAGAGUGAGAAGUAUGGGGUUCUUUCAAUUUUAAUAUUUACAUACUUAUUUAAAAGUAAGAGUAGAAAUCUCACUCUAUCUAUCUUACUCACUUUUAGAGUGUGGGAUGUAAUUUUUACUCUUAUAGGAGUAGGUGGGAGGGAAAUUCUCACUCUCACCUAUUCUUUUUUAACUAUUUUCUUUAAAUAGAGCAUAAUUAUAUUUAUUGAAGUAAAAUAUUAAAAAUAAUAUAGUUAUAUUCAUUAAAACACAAUAAGUUACAUCUAUUUAAAAUAAUAAUAAAUAUUUUAUUUUAAGAAAUAUUAAUUUUCUACUAUGUUAUUUAUGAUAAUGUUUCAUUUAUAUUACUCUUAUCAAUAAUUUUUAAUUUACAUAAUUAAAAUUAAAAUUAAUAAAAAUCUGUGAUUAUAUAAUUAGAAUAUUGCUGAAAAGGUGCCGGAUUUGUGCACGAGAAUUUUGGCAUAUACAGGACCCUUGAAGAGCUUUGGGAUGGUGAAAUUUGAGGUGGAUGUGAUAUUUCAGACAUAGGAUUUUGCUGUACUUUCUAUUUAAAACCUACUUAUGAUCAAUGACACUAGAGCUCUCAAUCAGCAUUUGUUGUAGAGAAGUGCAGAUUGUGUGAACUCAAAUGUAGCAUUAUUGUUGGACGUUAUGAUCACAAGAACAAGAGCUCGAAGUUAUGUUAAUCUGCUAGUGAUUUUCUUCUCUUUUCUGCCAACCUGAUCUAUUGUUGAGUUUUGUUAAUUUGCAAUCGUUCCAAUUCAACAUUUCCCAUUCUAACGGGUAGCAGGGUUGCUCUGUUUUUCAAUGACCAUCAUGGAUUUGUGGGAGUUUUUCGGUUUAGUGAAGCAGGGAGAUAUUUGAUAAUUGUCUUUUCUCUUGAUUUCUAACGUUGAAUUUCUGUUUUUCUUUUCAUUUUCUUACUUUUAAUAGGCGAAAAAAAAAAUCAUAAGACUUAAGGUGACGAGAAGUUUUGAUGAGUCGGAAUAAUGUUGGCUACUAUAAUCUAAUUUUGAUGCUUGAAAUGAAUCCAAACCAAACGUCAGGCAGGAGGUUAGCUUGAGGGAAGAACGAAGGAUGGGAAAAACAUUUUCGGAGAAGACGUGUCAAAUUAACGAAAUUACUCAGCUUUAUGGUUUUUUCGUUCUUAUUUUGUUUUGUCUGUCUAGACAUCAUAAGUGUUCGAUCCUAUAUCAAUUUAUUUUUAGUUUGAGAAUUUAAAAAAAUUUUAAUUGCGCGAUGUCUCUUCACAUUCAUAUGUUGAUUUGUAAAAACGAUCUGUAAUGAAUCUGCCUUAUUUCGGGGAUACUCGCUAGGCGAUUCCCCAGGCACAGGACCUGUCAAGGGUAAUGCUCUUAAGC